CUUUUUUCCCCGAUACCAUAAAGUGUUUUUGCUCAGGAACAUGAAGCAAUAACAUGAUGAUUUUAAGUCUGUGGAGGGAUCACGUCAAGAAGGUGCAGAGAGGGCAUCAAAAGCCUCAUCCCUUUGCGAUGUCAGUGUGACCAUGGGCACCAGGCUCCUCGGCUGUGCAGCCCUGUGUCUCCUGGCAGCAGGCUCUUUUCAUGCCGAAGUCACACAGACUCCAGGAUAUUUGGUCAAAGGAAAAGGACAGAAAACAAAGAUGGAUUGUACCCCCGAAAAAGGACAUACUUAUGUUUAUUGGUAUCAACAGAAUCAGAAUAAAGAGUUUACAUUUUUGAUUUCCUUUCAGAAUGAACAAGUUCUUCAAGAAACGGAGCUGCACAAGAAGCGGUUCUCAUCUCAAUGCCCCAAGAACCUACCUUGCAGCCUGGAGAUCCCGUCCUCGGAACCAGGAGACACCGCACUCUAUCUCUGUGCCAGCAGCCAAUCCACAGCAUUGAAAUGUCAGUUCCUCUUAGCACACAAACUUGUCACAGGCCCAGCUCAGGAAGCGGGUGAUGUAUUAGGUUGGAACAGAGUAAUAGAAAGUAACUGUAGCCAGUUUAAGCCACAGUGGAAUUUAACACAAGGAUAAAGCGUGUUUAGCAACAGUCAAGAGGCGAGGGACAGACAGUUCUGAAAAGGCACCCUAGGGCUGGGCUCUAGAAUGACUCUCUCUC